CAUGUCCUUUUGAUUUUUAUUUAAGGUUUAAUCUGCUCAAUGAUUUUUAAAUUGCCGCGGUAAUUUAACUGUGUGAAGGUAGCGUGAUAAUUAGCUUUUUUAUUGAAAGCUUGAAUGAAUGAUUGGACAAGAAAUUUUCUGUCUCUUUAUUAUUUGUUGAAUUUAACUUCUUAGUUAGAAGGCUUAUAUUUUUAUUAUAGACAAGAAGACCCUAUAGAGUUUUAUUAUUAGCUUUUUUUGAAGUUUUUAUUAUUUAUAUUCAUUUUUUUUUUAAUAAUUUGGUUGGGGUUGCUUAAAGAUUUAUUUAAUUCUUUUUAUUUUAUCAUUGAUUUGUGAAUAUUUUUUCUAGUUUUUUAAUUAUAAAAUUAAUUACCUUAGGGAUAACAGCGUAAUUUUUUCUUAUAGUUCUUAUAGAAGGAGAAGUUUGCGACCUCGAUGUUGGAUUAAAAUUAAUAAUUGGUGUAGGAGCUUUUUUAUUGAGUCUGUUCGACUUUUAAAAUUUUACAUGAUCUGAGU
rnacentral:rRNA from 1 species